rnacentral:lncRNA from 1 species
AAGGUUUUCAGAGGGGUUUUCUACAAUUUGUUUGGCCUGAUUAAAAGAGAUUUCAAAAUCUUCAGGCCACACAACCGUCGGAAAGCCAGAACAACGGCAGAAAAAAGGGAAUCAAAUAGGUUACAGUCAAGAACAAUGCGUUUUCCAAGGACAAGGGUUUCGAGCCUAUCAGAAAUGCUAGAGCAAAGAUUGGCAUAGAACAUACGGCUAGAGGUUCAUACACUUUAGGCGGAGAUAUAGAGAGAAAUUUGUCCCACCCCUG